AGAGCGAACGCUGGCGGCAGGCUUAACACAUGCAAGUCGAGCGGAUGUAGCAAUACAUCAGCGGCAGACGGGAUAGUAACACGUGGGAACGCGCCCUUUGGUUCGGAAUAACUCAGGGAAACUUGAGCUAAUACCGGAUAAGCCCUUACGGGGAAAGAUUUAUCGCCAAAGGAACGGCCCGCGUCCGAUUAGCUAGUUGGUGAGGUAAUGGCUCACCAAGGCGACGAUCGGUAGCUGGUCUGAGAGGAUGACCAGCAUCACUGGGACUGAGACACGGCCCAGACUCCUACGGGAGGCAGCAGUAGGGAAUCUUGCGCAAUGGGCGAAAGCCUGACGCAGCAACGCCGCGUGAGGGAUGGGAGGCCUUCGGGGUUGUAAAACUCUUUCGACGGGGACGAUAAGUGACGGUACCGUAGAGAAGCUCCGGCUAACUUCGUGCCAGCAGCCGC
rnacentral:rRNA from 1 species